AUGAGUUGCUUCCAACUUCCCAAGAAAUUGUGCGGGAAUCUGACAUCUAUCUCUUCAAACUUUUGGUGGGGUGAAGCAAAUGGUGAAAAAAAGGUGCACUAGAUAGCAUGGAAGAAAAUGUGCAUGAGUAAACAGGAUGGCGGAAUGGGGUUCUGGGACAUGGAGGCAUUCAAUCAAGCGUUGCUUGCAAAGCAAGCUCGGAGGAUUUUGCAAGUCCCUUCUUCCCUCUGUGCUCGGGUUCUCAAGUCCAGGUACUUUACGGAUGGAUCAAUACUUAAUUCAGCAUGCCUGAGUGGUGGGUCGUAUACAUUUCGAAGCAUCUGUUUGGUAGGGACCUGUUGCUAG
rnacentral:rRNA from 1 species